rnacentral:ncRNA from 1 species
UACAGACUGACCUAGCAGACUCGCCAAGACGGUAGGACUUAUUUUUUCGGAGAAAAAAUUAUG